GUAACAGCUCAAAUUUGAAAGCUAGCUCUUUUAGGGUUCGCAUUGUAAUUUGUAGAAGAUGCUUCGGGUGUGGCCCCGGUCUAAGUUCCUUGGAACAGGACGUCAUAGAGGGUGAGAAUCCCGUAUGUGACUGGGUGCUUUCGCUCAUGUGAAGCUCUUUCGACGAGUCGAGUUGUUUGGGAAUGCAGCUCAAAAUGGGUGGUAAAUUUCAUCUAAAGCUAAAUAUUGGCCAGAGACCGAUAGCGCACAAGUAGAGUGAUCGAAAGAUGAAAAGCACUUUGGAAAGAGAGUUAAACAGUACGUGAAAUUGUUGAAAGGGAAGCGCUUGCAACCAGACUUGCGCGCUGAUGAUCAUCCGGGCUUCUGUCCGGUGCACUCGUCUGCGCUCAGGCCAGCAUCGGUUUCGGUGGUGGGAUAAAGGCCUUGGGAAUGUAGCUCCUCUCGGGGAGUGUUAUAGCCCUCGGUGCAAUGCCGCCUAUCGGGACCGAGGACCGCGCUUCGGCUAGGAUGCUGGCGUAAUGGUUGUAAGCGACCCGUCUUGAAACACGGACCAAGGAGUCUAACAUCUAUGCGAGUGUUUGGGUGUCAAACCCAUACGCGUAAUGAAAGUGAACGGAGGUGAGAACCCUUAAGGGUGCAUCAUCGACCGGUCCUGAUGUCUUCGGAUGGAUCUGAGUAAGAGCAUAGCUGUUGGGACCCGAAAGAUGGUGAACUAUGCGUGAAUAGGGUGAAGCCAGAGGAAACUCUGGUGGAGGCUCGCAGCGGUUCUGACGUGCAAAUCGAUCG
rnacentral:rRNA from 1 species